rnacentral:rRNA from 1 species
AAAGACCACCCGCUGAGUUUAAGCAUAUCAAUAAGCGGAGGA